AUUGAACGCUGGCGGCAGGCCUAACACAUGCAAGUCGAACGAGCGGCGGACGGGUGAGUAAUGUCUGGGAAUCUGCCCGAUGGAGGGGGAUAACUACUGGAAACGGUGGCUAAUACCGCAUACUAUCAGAUGUGCCCAUAUGGGAUUAGCUAGUUGGUGGGGUAACGGCUCACCAAGGCGACGAUCCCUAGCUGGUCUGAGAGGAUGACCAGCCACACUGGGACUGAGACACGGUCAAGACUCCUACGGGAGGCAGCAGUGGGGAAUAUUGCACAAUGGGCGCAAGCCUGAUGCAGCCAUGCCGCGUGUAUGAAGAAGGCCUUAGGGUUGUAAAGUACUUUCAGCGGGGAGGCGUUACCCGCAGAAGAAGCACCGGCUAACUCCGUGCCAGCAGCCGCGGUAAUUC
rnacentral:rRNA from 1 species